rnacentral:tRNA from 1 species
GUAGCUUUGGUCUAGUGGUUACGACGCUAUAGUAUGAUACCCCUGUUGUCUCACGGCUCCAGGGACUUUGGUCUCACGGCCUCAGUCGCCUCAGAAAUAUAGAAACGUGGGUUCGAUUCUCACAGGCUGCG